rnacentral:snoRNA from 1 species
UUUCUUUUUUUAAAUAUAAACAUUUUAUUCCCAAUGGGGGCCUGGUGUGUGCAAUGACUGCAAACAGCAGUGUCCUUGCUGGUGUUUGCAGCCUGUUGCUUGUAUAGGUUGCACUAAGGGACCUUGGAGACAUUC